GUAGGAUAGAGGCCUACCAUGGUGGUAACGGGUAACGGGGUGUUAGGGCACGACACCGGAGAGGGAGCCUGAGAAACGGCUACCACAUCCAAGGAAGGCAGCAGGCGCGCAAAUUACCCAAUCCCGACACGGGGAGGUAGUGACAAUAACUAACAAUACAGGGUUCUUUGAAUCUUGUAAUUGGAAUGAGUACAAUUUAAAUCUCUUAACGAGGAACAAUUGGAGGGCAAGUCUGGUGCCAGCAGCCGCGGUAAUUCCAGCUCCAAUAGCGUAUAUUAAAGUUGUUGCAGUUAAAAAGCUCGUAGUUGAAUUUCGGGAUCAAUACGUCGGUCGUGCUUUCGGGUACGWACUGGCGUCAUUGGUUUCUCCUUUCUGACGAACCAUGAUGUCAUUAAUUUGGUGUUAUGGGGAGUUAGGACUGUUACUUUGAAAAAAUUAGAGUGUUUAAAGCAGGCAUUAGCUUGAAUACAUUAGCAUGGAAUAAUGAAAUAGGACGUUCGAUCCUAUUUUGUUGGUUUCUAGGAUCAACGUAAUGAUUAAUAGGGAUAGUUGGGGGCAUUAGUAUUCAAUUGUCAGAGGUGAAAUUCUUGGAUUUAUUGAAGACUAACUACUGCGAAAGCAUUUGCCAAGGAUGUUUUCAUUAAUCAAGAACGAAAGUUAGGGGAUCGAAGACGAUCAGAUACCGUCGUAGUCUUAACCAUAAACUAUGCCGACUAGGG
rnacentral:rRNA from 1 species